rnacentral:rRNA from 1 species
UUGGGGGAGUAAUAGCCUACCAAGGCUUCGAUCAGUAGCUGGUCUGAGAGGACGACCAGCCACACUGGAACUGAGACACGGUCCAGACUCCUACGGGAGGCAGCAGUGGGGAAUUUUGGACAAUGGGCGCAAGCCUGAUCCAGCCAUUCCGCGUGAGUGAAGAAGGCCUUCGGGUUGUAAAGCUCUUUCGCAAGGGAAGAAAACUUACUUUCUAAUAAAGAGUGAGGCUGACGGUACCUUGAUAAGAAGCACCGGCUAACUACGUGCCAGCAGCCGCGGUAAUACGUAGGGUGCGAGCGUUAAUCGGAAUUACUGGGCGUAAAGCGUGCGCAGGCGGUUUGGCAAGUCAGAUGUGAAAUCCCCGAGCUCAACUUGGGAACUGCGUUUGAAACUGCCAGACUAGAAUAUGUCAGAGGGGGGUAGAAUUCCACGUGUAGCAGUGAAAUGCGUAGAGAUGUGGAGGAAUACCAAUGGCGAAGGCAGCCCCCUGGGAUAAUAUUGACGCUCAUGCACGAAAG